rnacentral:rRNA from 1 species
CCUACGGGUGGCAGCAGUAGGGAAUCUUGCUCAAUGGGGGAAACCCUGAAGCAGCAACGCCGCGUGGAGGAUGAAGGUCUUCCGAUUGUUAACUCCUUUUGUUAGAGAAGAUAUUGACGGUAUCUAACGAAUAAUCACCGGCUAACUCCGUGCCAGCAGCUGCGGUUAUACAGAGGGUGCAAGCGUUACUCGGAAUUACUGGGCGUAAAGAGUGCGUAGGCGGGAGAGCAAGUCAGAUGUGAAAUCCUAUGGCUUAACCAUAGAACGGCAUUUGAAACUGUUAUUCUAGAGUAUGGGAGAGGUAGGUGGAAUUCUUGGUGUAGGGGUAAAAUCCGUAGAGAUCAAGAGGAAUACUCAUUGCGAAGGCGACCUGCUAGAACAUAACUGACGCUGAUGCGCGAAAGCGUGGGGAGCAAACAGGAUUAGAUACCCUUGUAGUC